rnacentral:rRNA from 1 species
AAACUUUCAACAACGGAUCUCUUGGUUCUGGCAUCGAUGAAGAACGCAGCGAAAUGCGAUAAGUAAUGUGAAUUGCAGAAUUCAGUGAAUCAUCGAAUCUUUGAACGCACAUUGCGCCCUCUGGUAUUCCGGAGGGCAUGCCUGUUCGAGCGUCAAA